GAUGAACGCUAGCGGCAGGCCUAACACAUGCAAGUCGAGGGGUAGAACACUUCGGUGUUUGAGACCGGCGCACGGGUGCGUAACGCGUAUGCAAUCUACCUUGUACAGGGGAAUAGCCCAGAGAAAUUUGGAUUAAUGCCCCAUAGUAUAUAACCUUCGCAUGUUGGUUAUAUUAAAGUUCCAACGGUACAAGAUGAGCAUGCGUCCCAUUAGUUAGUUGGUAAGGUAACGGCUUACCAAGACGAUGAUGGGUAGGGGUCCUGAGAGGGAGAUCCCCCACACUGGUACUGAGACACGGACCAGACUCCUACGGGAGGCAGCAGUGAGGAAUAUUGGUCAAUGGGCGCAAGCCUGAACCAGCCAUGCCGCGUGCAGGAAGACGGUCCUAUGGAUUGUAAACUGCUUUUAUACAGGAAGAAACAACUUUACGUGUAGAGUCUUGACGGUACUGUAGGAAUAAGGAUCGGCUAACUCCGUGCCAGCCGCCGCGGUAAUAC
rnacentral:rRNA from 1 species